UACGAAGGGGGCUAGCGUUGUUCGGAAUUACUGGGCGUAAAGCGCACGUAGGCGGAUCUUUAAGUCAGGGGUGAAAUCCUGGAGCUCAACUCCAGAACUGCCUUUGAUACUGGGGAUCUCGAGUCCGGAAGAGGUGAGUGGAACUCCGAGUGUAGAGGUGAAAUUCGUAGAUAUUCGGAAGAACACCAGUGGCGAAGGCGGCUCACUGGUCCGGUACUGACGCUGAGGUGCGAAAGCGUGGGGAGCAAACAGGAUUAGAAACCCCGGUCGAGUCC
rnacentral:rRNA from 1 species